rnacentral:misc_RNA from 1 species
GAUGAAGAACGCAGCGAAAUGCGAUAAGUAAUGCGAAUUGCAGAAUUCCAGUGAGUCAUCGAAUCUUUGAACGCACAUUGCGCCCUUUGGUAUUCCGAAGGGCAUGCCUGUUCGAGCGUCAUUAUCACCCCUCAAGCCCUCGGCUUGGUGUUGGACGGUUUGGUGGAGGCCCCCUCGGGGGCUCCUGCCCCUCCCAAAGACAAUGACGGCGGCCUCGUUGGACCCCCGGUACACUGAGUUCUUCACGGGACACGUAUCGGACACAUGGGUAUACGGGACACGGUCUGCCUCCCCUCAGGGAGAAUCUUUCUAAGGUUGACCUCGGAUCAGGUAGGGAUACCCGCUGAACUUAAGCAUAUUAAUAAGCGGAGGA